rnacentral:lncRNA from 1 species
UCUCUCUAAUGGAGGCAAAAACAACGACAACAAAAAUAUGGGCUACAAGGUUCCUCCACACUUGUGCCUUGGCCCAACAGCAGUAAUUACACAGAUUAGAAAUAGUGCUUAAAAAAUCCUCUUUCCCAUGUGCCCCACCUCACUUCCUAGGGCCCCUCAUGGCUCCUGUUCACCUUCCUGACAGAUAAAUGCCUGUGAUCCACUCAUUCGUGCCUCACUGUGGCUCCUUGGUACUCAACCAAUUCAGCUUCCAUAUCACCCCUGGAAUAUUCCCCUGUCUCCCUUCCUCAGGGGCGGGUGCAGCAUUUUGGAGAUUUCCAAGGGAGAAGAGCAAGAUAAAAAUUGGUAAUCUGGGGGAGCAGUUUUAACAAUAAUAGCUGCAUGAAAAUAAUAUUAAUAUCAUUUGCUUAUUAAGGACAAGCCAUGGGCCUCAGUGUUUUCAGCACUUCACCUACACUAACACGUUUAGGUAAUGUUAUCCUUCUCGUUUUAGAAAUGAUGCAACUGAGUCACAGAGAAGUUAAGUAAUCUGCCUGCCGACACUCGGGUCGAUGCCGCCUCAUUCCAUCACUCGGGCAAUGGAGCCAAAGGCCACGUUCACAACCACUAGGCUGUCCCAGCCCCUUGGUGUGAUUUGUCCCUUCCUAAGCUUCAAAGAUAGCCAGGCAGGAGUUAUUUUAUAGAAUGGAAGUAAUUUCUACGGGGCCAAGCAAUAAUAAGGAAAUUGGAAGUCAAGGACUAUCUUCCGAAUGGAGAAGAAGCUCCAUCAACCACAGAAGGAAAUUAUGAUCACUCCUGCCAUCCUGCUCCUUUGUGUAUCCAGGAUGAAGGGGAGAAUUGGAGUCUUGCACAAUGAAAGGACAACAUUGCUGCCAAAACAAUCCAUCGUGACUGUAGACAUAUUUUCCACCCUCAUCCUGCAGGUUUUCUGCCAGUUGUUGGCCCCUCAUCAAUUUUGCUCCUGGGCAGUCUGAGGUGGAACAUAAUUUUGUAUAAAACAAAUUAUGCUCAACCUCACUUAUAAUCAGGGAAAUGUGAGUCAAAACCACAAUAAAAUAUCACCUCAUGCUGUUUAGGAUUGCUGUUAUCAAGUAGACAAGAAAGAAGUGUUGGUGAGGGUAAGGAGAAAAUAAAAUCUUUGCACACUGUUGGUGGGAAUGUAAGUUGGUAAAGCCACUAUCAAAGGCAAUAUGAAGGAUUCUCAAAAAAUUAAAAAUAAAAUUGCCAAAUGAUCCAUCAAUCCUUCUUCUGGACACAUAAUCAAAGGAAAUGAAAUCAGUAUCUCAAAUAGAUAUUUGCACCCCAUAUCCAUUGCAUCCUUUUUUGUAAUAGCCAAGAUAUGGGAGCAAUCGAAGUGUCCAUCAGCAAAUGAAUGGAUAAAGAAAUCAUGGUACAUAUAUACAGUGGAAUAUUAUUCAGACAUAAAAAGGAAGGAAAUCCUGUCAUUUCUGAAGACAUUAAUGAACCCAGAGGACAUCAUACUAAGUGAAAUAAGCUAGAUAUAGGAAGACAAAAACCACAUGAUCUCACUUACAUGUGGAAUCUAAAAAAGUCAAACUCAUAGAAGCAGAGAGUAGAAUAGUGGUUGUCAAGGGCUUGGGAUAAUUGAGGAGAUGUUGGUUAAAGGGUACAAACUUUAAGUUAUAAGAUGAACAAGUUCUGGCGCUCUACUAUAUAGUAUGGGUGAUGACGGAUGUGUUAAUUAAUUUGAUUGUGACAUUCAUUACACGAUGUAUAUGUAUAACAAAUCAUCACAUUGUACACCUUGGAUAUAUUCCAUCUUUAUUUAUCAAUUAAAUAUUUCAAAAUGUUUUUAAAAAGGAAGGCAAAAUGGGCCAAAAGGAGUAACUACUUUGUGUAGAGCUGAUGUCCAGGCUGGAAUUUCUAAACUUUUUCUGUAACCUAGAGUCUCUUUUAUAUUUUUGACUUACCCAUUAUUCAUAACAGAUCUCAGGAACCCUCAUCACACUGCCUGUUGCUAAAAACUCAAAGGAGUUAUUGAUAUAUGAACAACCCAAGUUAAUGCAGUCAUUAAUGGAAAUACAGAGUCUUGACUGAAAGAGAUCAUUUCUAUUUUUUGUUGCGAUAGUCAGAUCAUAGCCAGUCACAUCUUUUAGGGAGGAUGCAAAUAGGCUGGAGUUCCUUCAGCAAACAGGAUGCUGUAGAAUAAAAUAUUCUACAUGAGAAUACUUAAACAAAUUGGAGUGCCUGGUGCCACCAUGUAAAUUGUGAGGUGUCAGACAGGCUGGUCUUUGGAUUAGAGAUUGGACUUACUCUCUGUGGCCCUAUGAGUAGAGCAGGUCCGGGUGGGGCUGGGCAGGGAGGAAGAUCAUCUUAAAGUGAUAGAUGUAGGCUCAGUGUGAGGAAGGAUUUCUAAGAGUUGGAGCUGCUCAGAGGUGAAAUAUCAAGAGAGUGCCCUUCAGGAGCAGUGUCUGAAGACAGACCACAUGGCCAAUAGGGAGAGAUAAGCGGGCUGGGUGGCCUUCAGCGCUUUGCUUCCAGUCUUGGGAGUCUUACUGAAAUAGCUAAUGACCACUCAACCCAAAGAACAGACACAUGUCUGCCAUGUCUCUCCGGGCUCAUCCUGCUUAUUGCAAGUGAGGCCCAAAGGUGGGGCUGUUAUUCCCUGAUGUUUCAGGUCCACGUGCAACUUAUUCCCAGAUCUUUUCUGAAAAAAAAAAAGCAGAGAGACUGUUUGCCAGACAGCUGGACAAGAAUGAGGUAAAAGAAGAUAAGGCCCAACCGAGAAGUCAGAAAAGCUUCACUUUUCAUUAGCUCCACAUUCCAAAGUAAGAAAUCAAUGUGCUUAGCUGCAAUUCAAAGCAAUUAGUCUUUGUUCUCAGACACUCUCAAAGAAUGACUUAAAGAAGCCCAAAUAAAUAUUUUCAGAAAAGACAGUAAAUUUGUGUUACUUAACCCAAGGAAUGCAAACAAGUGCAAUUAAAGUGAAUACCCAUAAAUAAAGUAAAUACAUUAGUUAGGAAAUGAAUUAAUUAGUGUUUAAUUACUAUCAAUUACUAAAAUCACUACAGAAUUACUUGUAGAAUGGACUGAAUCUCUUGCUCCUAUUAAUAAUUUCCAUUGCUAAUUGUAUGCACUUGUAUUUUCUUUGGGUGCAUCUUAGCAGAGCUAAUAGGAGGAAGCAACAGCACAGUGAACAAUGACAGGGACAUUUUUUUUCUUUGUUCAGUGAAAAACAAAAGUGAUUUGAAAUAUAUCUGCCUG